rnacentral:sRNA from 1 species
ACUGGGCUUGGUGGCCCAUGCCUGUAAUCUUAGCAAUCAGGUGGCUGAGAUAGGAGGAUUGCAAGUCUGAAUUCAGUCUCAGCAAUUUAGUGAGACUUCAGCAACUUAGCAAGAUCCUGUCUCAA